AACACAAUAAGCACUCCGCCUGGGGAGUACGGUCGCAAGACUGAAACUCAAAGGAAUUGACGGGGACCCGCACAAGCAGCGGAGCAUGUGGUUUAAUUCGAAGCAACGCGAAGAACCUUACCAAGGCUUGACAUCCCCUUGACCGGCACAGAGAUGUGCCCUCUCCUUCGGGAGCAAGGGUGACAGGUGGUGCAUGGUUGUCGUCAGCUCGUGUCGUGAGAUGUUGGGUUAAGUCCCGCAACGAGCGCAACCCUUAUCCUUAGUUGCCAGCAUUUAGGUGGGCACUCUAAGGAGACUGCCGAUGAUAAAUCGGAGGAAGGUGGGGAUGACGUCAAAUCAUCAUGCCCCUUAUGUCUUGGGCUACACACGUGCUACAAUGGUCGGUACAAAGGGCAGCGAAGGAGUGAUCCGGAGCAAAUCCCAAUAAACCGAUCUCA
rnacentral:rRNA from 1 species